GUGCUUGCUUCAGCAGCACAUAUACUAAAAUUGGAAUGAUACAAAGAUUAGCAUGACUCCUGAGCAAGAAUGACACACAAAUUCACGAAGCGUUCCACAUUUAA